UCUCCUCCCUGCCGCCGCUGCCUCCUCUUCUUCCCUAGACCAUGCCUCCUCCCCGCUCCUCGUUCUGCCGCCUCCUGCUGCUCCCACACGGCAGUCGUCUUCCAUCCGGCGUAUCGCCUAGCGGAGCAAAUGGCGGAUCUGCCACCUCUCUCCUCGCCGGUAAGGAGCAGCCAGACUGGUGCUGGGGAGAGCCGGAGACGGGGACAAGAAGCAGCAGUGGUCGGCUCCCGCUGCGGUGGAGUGGAGCUGUAGGGAGAGGAAGGAGGCCGGCGACAGGGGAAAAGAACAUGCCAGCUCUGGUUCGUCAUGGAGAACACAACUGCUCGCCCUCCUCUGCCUCUUCUUCUCUGGUCCAUGGAUUCGUUGUGGGUCUCUAUUGGUGGUGUUGGGGAUUGUAAGGCUUGUUCCAUCUGGUUUUAGGAGUGUGUGUUGCUCCUAUAAAAUUUUCUCAGAUUAAGAGGUCUGCUUGUACUGUUUACAUCACUAGGCUGAGUCCAUCAUUGGUGGUGGUUAUUGUCCAGGUUUGGCAGCAAAUCAACUACUCUGAAUGAGGCCAUCCACAGCUUCUCAGGAGUAACAUGCAUACGCGAACACAUUGAUCCAAGAAUUCAGUGCUCGAAGAAGUCUGUUAUGCUAACUUGUGGGUUCAGAUCCUUAUUAUCAGAUCGUGUCACUCUUUCGACUCCAAAACCGAUGAGCUCUGGAAAACGCUUCAUCGCCUUAUGGCAUCAAGAUGCAUCUGCUCAUAUGAUUUCACAGUUUGGCAAGUACCAGAGAAUUUGUGGUUGACUGUUUACAUCCAAAAUCAUCGUGUUAGUACUUAGUACUGAAGCUAAUUUCUACAUUGUUAAUAGAGUUGCCUUGAUGUUUCCCGUACUAGAAAGAUCUAUCUAUGAUCUAUUUUCUAACCAUCUAAGACUGUAGUCAUAUAUACUCCAUACAGUAACAAUAUAUGUUGUUGUCAGUUUGCUGAUUAUUUAUCUCUCCCAGCUUGUUUUUAUGUCUGGUCAGAUUGGAAAUGUAGCUUUAUGGGCAUGCAUGAGAUUCAUAUUAUAAUAAAGUUUGCCUUCAUACUAUAAAUCCAUUCAUUGGAGCUAUAUAUCAUAUACAGUACCAUUUAGGCUGGUUCAUGAGUAAAAUGUUGUUUUUAAUAAAUUUAAGGUUGUUCCUUGUUUGCUUUUUGUUUGCUAGCACUAAUGCUGAUGUAAGAAAACAAAGUAUAGUUCAUAUUUUAAAUCAUUUAUGUCCAUAUCGUCUGAUGCUAAUGUAUGAACUUUAUAUGGUUUGGUCUAAACGAUAUCAAUAAAAUAAUAUACAUUGUGGAAAUUAAAUAAAUCCUACAAAUCGAAUUAGGAAACUAUUGUUACUGGCAUUCGACGAGGAAAAGGAGACCCCGGAGGAAGUUACUGCGUCGCUGUGGUGGCUCGAUCGAUGCGGAUUUUGAUGUUCAUUGUUUUGAUCUCGACAUGGAUUCGAUAGUGGAGAAUUGAUACUCGGGAUAGAGAAAUUGUUAUUUGUGUUGCUGAUUUUUUUAUUUGGGCAUGGAUUUGAGAGUGGACAAGGCCUGAUCAAGUCUCCAGACUCAUGAUUCUUUUUCAGUGUCAAUCAAUGGUUUCCUUAAUUGCAAGACAACGAAUCUCCGUGUUAUUGAUCUGGUACAGUGUUGUUGUGCGUGAGGACGACACAUGGAAAUGUGCAACAAGGCAGUGCUCGCAUUGCAGUGGACUGGAGUCCGCCAUCACCACCGAUCAUUGCUCGCCGAUCAUCGUCCCUCAUCCCCCGUCUAGGCGAAGAAGAGAGGAAGGAUCUUGAGGAAGAGUCAGGAACAUGGUGAACCUCUUGGCCAUCGCAACCCGACGGCUUAGGCGACAAUGAACAGGGGUAUUUCUAGCCCAUCAAUCUACAGGGCUCAGGUCCUGCACAUGGUGUUUGCUAGAGAAAAUCAAAAGAAGCAACCUGAAUGUCAAUGGGGUGAUGGCAGUGACAUAUUUAACACGAGGUGUUGCAUCUAGGGAUUGUUCUUGGGUUCAGCUUUCGGCAAGUUGUUAUUAUAGAGUUAGCCCUAUCUUUUUGAAUCAUCAUAUGUACUCAAGAGCCUUAUAAAUUAUGCAACUAGCUAAUCAUUGGAACUUUAAUACUCGGCUUUAUUUAUAGAUAGCACAACUUCAUGUUAGUUGCCAUUUUAUUGCUACAGAUAUUUGAUAAUUAUAUUGUAUAUUUGAUAAUUAUAUCCAUGUGGAUGUACGUGGUCUUCAAAGUUAUUGAAAGAUUUAAAGCAUAAGCAAGCUCGUUAAAUUCCUUUGGUACGUCAUAUAUCCUUCUGCCCCAUUCCUAUGCUUUAGAGGUUUAUAGUAAGAAGAUAUGAGAUAUAGUCUUUCCUUUUCAGUAUAUCUGAAAGAAUAUGAGCGAGGUUACUAGCUCACACAUAUAGUUUGAUUAUUAAGUUUCUAAAUAAGUUCAGCCUCAGAGCACAUAUUUUGCAUCCAUUGCUUAUUUAAUCCAUUGAGACGCUUCUAACUGCAUCUUAAU